AAUAACCAAAAAUGCCUUUUUUACCUUCUUCGGUCGGUUGUCAGCGCGCGCAGACCUUCCUCGCCCCAAAUCCAGAACAAACAGUCCUGUCCGACGUUCGACGUCGAUGACGUCAGACGCACGGGGGCAGGCCAAACGUUUGUCAGACGAAUGUCACCUCUCCACGACCCCCCACCCGCCUCUCCCCCAUACCGAGUGAGCUCAUGCGGUGUUUCAGCAGCAGGACUGGGUUACACCUAACUAACGGCUGCGUUAGGUAUGCCGCCUGGUGGUCAGUGAUGAUACUGAAUCCACAGAAGAGCAAUCACAGAUGCUGACUAAGUUGCCACAAUUUUCUGUUACAUAACAUGCAAGUCUAACUGGUCCAAGUGUGAAAGGCUCUUCCUCCAUCUUUUCCUCCUCUGCUCCUCCACCCUCAACCACCUCCUCUGGCGCUGUAACUCCCUCAGGCGCAGACUCAUCCUUGGUGAGCUCCGCCUCUGUCUGGUUGUCACCGGUUAACUCCAUUUCAGACACGUCCAUCACCAUGGAAUCUUCAGGAUCCUGAUCGUCUUGGUUACCAGAAAAGGGGUUCUCACCCUACCAAGGGAACAGAGAUUACAAGAUGACUACAUGAACAAGCUGUAGCAGAGUGCUGCUGUUACGUUGAUGGUUACCAUUGAAACGCCAAAGCCAAAUGAAGCAGGUUGUAAUGAAUGACUAAUCUGAGCAGAAGGCAUUCACUGUCAACAAGAUUUAUGAACAAAACAUGACAUUAUCUGCUCAAGAAAAUUGCUUUCAAAAAUCACUAUG